UUUCCGUAGGUGAACCUGCGGAAGGAUCAUUCAUAAUAAGUGUGUUAUGGCUCUUUUUUAAAUCUAUAUCCACCUCGUGUGCAAUAACAGGGUUGAUUUUUCUCUCUAGAGGAUAAUCCCGAAACUUCAACUAUAUCUCAACUCUUUGUCUGUAAAAUAUUAUGAAUAAAACAAAGCAAAAUACAACUUUCAACAACGGAUCUCUUGGCUCUA
rnacentral:misc_RNA from 1 species